CAUUGGCGUGAUGAUACAAAAUUCUGAAAAUACAUUAUGUGGACUAAACCAUAAUCAGACUACAAUUAUCUGAUCAAUG